AAGUCGUAACAAGGUUUCCGUAGGUGAACCUGCGGAAGGAUCAUUACCGAGAGAGGGGCCUUGUGCCCCCGGGGCUGACCGCCCUGAUUCUUCACCCAAUGUGUACAUACCACUUGUUGCUUUGACAGGCCCCGGCUUUUUCGCCCGGCGUUGACCUGGGCCUAGUGCCCCCCACGCUCGCCUGCCAGAGGACCAUCAAAUCCUGUUUGAUCAGUGUAGUCUGAGUAAAAUCAUAAUAAGUACAAAACUUUCAACAACGGAUCUCUUGGUUCUG
rnacentral:misc_RNA from 1 species